GUGGCGAACGGGUGAGUAACACGUGAGUAACCUGCCCCAGACUCUGGGAUAAGCACUGGAAACGGUGUCUAAUACCGGAUACGAGCUUCAGCCGCAUGGCUAGGAGCUGGAAAGAAUUUCGGUCUGGGAUGGACUCGCGGCCUAUCAGCUAGUUGGUGAGGUAAUGGCCCACCAAGGCGACGACGGGUAGCCGGCCUGAGAGGGUGACCGGCCACACUGGGACUGAGACACGGCCCAGACUCCUACGGGAGGCAGCAGUGGGGAAUAUUGCACAAUGGGCGCAAGCCUGAUGCAGCGACGCCGCGUGAGGGAUGAAGGCCUUCGGGUUGUAAACCUCUUUCAGCAGGGACGAAAACAGACGGUACCUGCAGAAGAAGCACCGGCCAACUACGUGCCAGCAGCCGCGGUAAUACGUAGGGUGCAAGCGUUGUCCGGAAUUAUUGGGCGUAAAGAGCUCGUAGGCGGUUUGUCGCGUCGGCUGUGAAAUCUGGAGGCUUAACCUUCAGCGUGCAGUCGAUACGGGCAGACUUGAGUUCGGCAGGGGAGACUGGAAUUCCUGGUGUAGCGGUGAAAUGCGCAGAUAUCAGGAGGAACACCGGUGGCGAAGGCGGGUCUCUGGGCCGAUACUGACGCUGAGGAGCGAAAGC
rnacentral:rRNA from 1 species